UACGGAGGAUCCAAGCGUUAUCCGGAUUUAUUGGGUUUAAAGGGUGCGUAGGCGGCCUGUUAAGUCAGGGGUGAAAGACGGUAGCUCAACUAUCGCAGUGCCCUUGAUACUGAUGGGCUUGAAUGGACUAGAGGUAGGCGGAAUGAGACAAGUAGCGGUGAAAUGCAUAGAUAUGUCUCAGAACACCGAUUGCGAAGGCAGCUUACUAUGGUCUUAUUGACGCUGAGGCACGAAAGCGUGGUGAUCAAACAGG
rnacentral:rRNA from 1 species